GAAGGUGAUGAUGAUAAAGAUGA
rnacentral:sRNA from 1 species